rnacentral:rRNA from 1 species
GUCGAACGAGAAAGCGGGGCAACUCGGUGAGUAAAGUGGCGACCGGGUGAGUAACACGUAGCUAACUAACCUUGGAGUGGGGGAUAACCUGGGGAACCUGGGCUAAUACCGCAUCACAUCCCGAUGGCGUAAGUCGUGGGAGCAAAGGCCCGCAAGGCCCGCUGGAGGAGGGGGCUGCGNCCGAUUAGCUAGUUGGUGAGGUAACGGCCCACCAAGGCGAUGAUCGGUAGCCGGCCUGAGAGGGCGCACGGCCACACUGGCACUGACACACGGGCCAGACUCCUACGGGAGGCAGCAGUGGGGAAUUUUGCACAAUGCCCGAAAGGGUGAUGCAGCAACGCCGCGUGAGGGAUGAAGGCCUUCGGGUCGUAAACCUCUUUCGAUCGGGAAAAACGGCCCUGUGAAGAGCGGGGUCUGAUGGUACCGGAUGAAGAAGCCCCGGCCCACUACGUG